GGCAGGAUGGCCGAGUGGUCUAAGGCGCACGGUUAAGGCGACAGCAUCCGUGUUCGAAAGAGCGAGGGUUCGAAUCCCUCUCCUGUCA
rfam:Wallemia ichthyophaga EXF-994 unplaced genomic scaffold scaffold21, whole genome shotgun sequence.